GGGUGCAGCAGGAAGUCUGUUGCAGGAUAACGGGUGGUCGGGCCGCCACAC
rnacentral:ncRNA from 12 species